UACGUAGGUGGCAAGCGUUAUCUGGAUUUAUUGGGCGUAAAGGGAACGCAGGCGGUCUUUUAAGUCUGAUGUGAAAGCCUUCGGCUUAACCGGAGUAGUGCAUUGGAAACUGGGAGACUUGAGUGCAGAAGAGGAGAGUGGAACUCCAUGUGUAGCGGUGAAAUGCGUAGAUAUAUGGAAGAACACCAGUGGCGAAAGCGGCCCUCUGGUCUGUAACUGACGCUGAGGUUCGAAAGCGUGGGUAGCAAACAGG
rnacentral:rRNA from 1 species